CCGGACCAAGCUCCAGAAGGCCAGACUUUCUGUCUUAAAGAGUCCCUCCAGGUCUCUCGGCCGCACCCUCCUGGGUCCUGAUGCACCCCCAAGCCCGCGCACGCCCAUGAGAGGAGGGGACAGACACCUCCAUCCCACCCGGACUCAGCCGGUUUCCUUCUUUUCGAAGCUCUCCAAGAGCUCGGUCAUGAAGGAAAUGUAGACGAUGGCCAGGCGUAGGGUCUCGAUCCGGGACAGCCUCUUCUCGUAAGCAAAAGUGGGCACCUUCCUUCGCAGCUGGUCGAAGGCCUCGUUGAGGUUGAACAUCCGCUUCCUCUCGCGGAUGUUGGCUGCCUGGCGCUGGGCAUAGGUGAUCACCCUUUUCCUCUUGGGACGGCCCAGCGGGGACGCGCCUCUCCCAUGUUCCUCUUCCUCCUCCUCCUCCUCCCCCUCGUCUACUUCGCCCUCCUCUUCGGGAUCCUCCUCCUCAAAGCGUGCCAGCCUCCUGCGUCUUCCCUCUCGGAGCACAAGGUCUCGGUCCCCAAAGGGAACCCCAGGUGCGAAGUCGCAGAGGAGUGGGUGCCCCGGGGAGGCCAGGGACAGGUCUGCGACGAAGUCCAGCACGGUGGCGUCCACGCACCUCUCUGGAUAGGCCGCCAUCGCGUUGCCUUGGCCCUGCCUCUCAUCGGUUUCUCGCAGGGAGGGGCGAGAUUCUGGUGAGGGGCUUCCUAACAGCUUCCAAUCUGAUGCGGCACCAUCACCGAAGGGCCAGGGGAAUUAACAUUUAUAACCAAGCUGAUAACAGGAUUAGUGGCACCGAUAGGGAAGGCUCUGACAAUGUCCGUCCUCUCGAAACUGAUGGAAAAAGACAAGCAAGCUUGAGCGCGCUAGGGAAUCUCAAAGGGAUAGGCCUCCAACGCUGAGAUCCUUUUCGCUCGCCACCUGGGACAGUUCCUUUUUGGCAACAACCCCCGGCUCUUACCUGCUGUGCUUUUUGUGUCUCUCUUCACCCCCGCAGCCAACUAAUAUUCUUCAGGCUCCUUAUCUCAUGUAGCUCUUUAAUUUAGCUUUGGAUUUUCAAAGCGAGGAUGUUUUCCACCGCUCUGGCUUCUCCUUGGCUUCAGAGUAGAAGUCCCGAAUCUUGCCACCCGAGGCUGCCACUGGGUCUGAAACAAGUGCAUGUGCUUUUAAUGAUGUCCUGAAGAGGGGCCCUGUCUGCCAGGGGUCGAGGAGAGCUGUUUGUCUGGUAUCCCAGUGCAGCGGCUACUGAAAGGCAAGAUCUUCCAUUAGCUUAAGUAAGCACGGUAGGGGGGGCCGAGAGCGCAUUCCCCAGAGUCGCUGUUGGAACCGGCUUUCUCCUUCCAGGGCAUCUAAACGGCUCUCCUGCCGCGUUACAAACCCUGACUUCCAAAGUCUGUUUUGUUGUAAUCAGCCUAACAACUGAGAUACUUGACUUUCCUUUCCCUACUUAUAUCCUCCUCAUGUAAAGUGGAAGAUUUUAAUUCAGGGGAAAAUGAUAAUGG
rnacentral:lncRNA from 1 species